rnacentral:tRNA from 1 species
GCAGACAUAGCUCAAUUGGUAGAGCAGCGGUCUCCAAAGCCGCGAGUUGGGGGUUCAAGUCCCUCCGUCUGUGCCA